UGGAAACAUCAGCUCUUCUCCGAUCUUGAGCCUGCCUGUUCUUCUAGAACCAUACCCUUGGCUCUCCUGGGUCACCAGCUUGCCAACUGCAGCUCUUGGCCACCUUGCAGCCAGCGCACGCAGUCUAAUCUCCAUCAGUCAGGCUUUGGUUCAGGAGCUGGUGAAGCCAAGGGAAAGGAUGGCAGCGUUCUUUUGGCAGCUUGGAGCUGUGCCACUGAGAAACGCCUCCGGGAGAACCUGCCGUGAGGAGUGUAACUGACAGCCUUGGCAUCUGUGCAGCACUCAUUCCAUGUCUCUGCUCUAUCCAGAGGGCCCCGUCCAAUGAAUAGGCACAGAGCGGGGCACACAGGAUGCCAUGGAGAUGCCAGGGGAGCUGAGGAACGCGGCCCUGAGCCGGCAGUGCCUUUCCAGAAACAGCUCUCCUUGAUGGA